GUGGGGAAUAUUGGGCAAUGGGCGAAAGCCUGACCCAGCAACGCCGCGUGAAGGAAGAAGGUUUUCGGAUUGUAAACUUCUGUCCUCAGGGAAGAAGGAAGUGACGGUACCUGAGGAGGAAGCCCCGGCUAACUACGUGCCAGAAGCCGCGGUAAUACGUAGGGGGCGAGCGUUGUCCGGAAUGACGGGGCGUAAAGGGCGCUUGGACGGCCGAAUAAGUCUGGAGUGAAAGUCCUGCUUUCAAGGUGGGAAUUGCUUUGGAGACUGUUUGGCUUGAGUGCGGAAGAGGUAAGUGGAAUUCCCAGUGUAGCGGUGAAAUGCGUAGAGAUUGGGAGGAACACCAGUGGCGAAGGCGACUUACUGGGCCGUAACUGACGUUGAUGCGCGAAAGCGUGGGGAGCGAACAGGAUUAGAAACCCCGGUAGUCC
rnacentral:rRNA from 1 species